AGGAUGAACGCUAGCGACAGGCCGUAACACAUGCAAGUCAGGGGCAGCACAAGGAGCAAUCUGAGGUGGCGACCGGCGCACGGGUGAGUAACACGUAUGCAACCUGCCUGUAAGCGGGGAAUAACCCGUUGAAAGACGGACUGAUACCGCAUAAUACUAAAUUACUGCAUGGUAAUUUAUUUAAACAUUUAUGGCUUACAGAUGGGCAUGCGCAUGAUUAGCUAGUUGGAGAGGUAACGGCUCCCCAAGGCAACGAUCAUUAGGGGUUCUGAGAGGAAGGUCCCCCCACACUGGUACUGAGACACGGACCAGACUCCUACGGGAGGCAGCAGUGAGGAAUAUUGGUCAAUGGACGAGAGUCUGAACCAGCCAAGUCGCGUGCAGGAAGAAUGUCCCUAUGGAUUGUAAACUGCUUUUGCAGGGGAAUAAAGUGCAUCACGUGUGAUGUUUUGUAUGUACUCUGCGAAUAAGGAUCGGCUAACUCCGUGCCAGCCGCUGC
rnacentral:rRNA from 1 species